rfam:Treponema pedis str. T A4, complete genome.
GGUCAAGCGAAAGAAUAGGUUUAUGGUGGAUGCCUAAAGGAGCUGUAAGGCGAAGAAGGCCGUGGUAAGCUGCGAAAAGUUUCGGGGAGGAGCACACAUCCUGAGAACCGGAAAUAGCCGAAUGGGGUAACCCGUCAGUAGUGAUACUGACAUUACGUACCUGAAUAAAAUAGGGUAGUAAAGCGAUACUGAGUGAACUGAACCAUCUAAGUAACUCAAGGAAAAGAAAUCAAAAGAGAUUCCGAAAGUAGCGGCGAGCGAAAUUGGAGGAGCCUAAACCCUUUAAGGGAGUUGAAGGACUGCAUCGGCGUAGGACCGACAAGUUUAGAGAAAAUCAAUUUAUAGCAGAAAGGUUUUGGGAAAGCCUGGCGAAGAGGGUGAAACCCCCGUAAGCGAAAUAAAUUGAACUUGUUGAUGCGGCACCUAAGUACGGCGGGACACGAGAAACCCUGUCGGAAACCGGGUCGACCACGAUCCAAGGCUAAAUACUAGACAGCUACCGAUAGUGAACAAGUACCGUGAGGGAAAGGUGAAAAGAACCCCAGCUAAGGGGAGUGAAAUAGAACCUGAAACCGUAAACCGACAAGAUGUUACAGCCCGUAAGGGUAGUAGCGUGCCUUUUGUAGAAUGAGCCUGCGAGUUACGGUAUGCAGCGAGGUUAAGGAAUAGGAGUUCCGGAGCCGGAGUGAAAGCGAGCCUAAAUAGGGCGUGUUUCAGCGAAAGCUGAAGUUUAGUUGCAUGUCGUAGACCCGAAGCCGGAGUGAUCUAGUCAUGAGCAGGUUGAAGCAAGGGUAAAACCUUGUGGAGGACCGAACUAUAAUCUGUUAAAAAAGGUAUGGAUGACUUGUGACUAGGAGUGAAAGGCUAAUCAAACCCGGAAAUAGCUGGUUCUCCCCGAAAUGCCUUUAGGGACAGCCUCAUGCAAAAUUAUCGGAGGUAAAGCACUAGUUGGACUAGGGGGUGUCAAAGCCUACCAAACCCAGUUAAACUCUGAAUGCCGAUAAUCAACGUAUGGGAGUGAGACUGCGUGCGCUAAGGUUCGCAAGUCAAAAGGGAAACAGCCCAGACCGUCAGCUAAGGUCCCCAAAUACUGCUUGAGUGUGAAAUGAAGUGUGGAUACAAAGACAGCCAGGAGGUUGGCUUAGAAGCAGCAAUUCCUUUAAAGAGUGCGUAACAGCUCACUGGUCGAGUGUUCAUGCGCAGAUAAUGUAACGGGGCUAAGCAGUAUACCGAAGCUACGGGUCUUACAUAAUUUAAGUGUAAGGCGGUAGGGGAGCAUUCCAUUAACUGAAGAAGGCGUACUCGCGAGAGAUGCUGGAGGAGAUGGAAGAGAGAAUGCAGGUAUAAGUAACGAAAAGAGAGGUGAGAUCCCUCUCCGCCGAAAAUCUAAGGUUUCCUGGGUAAAGGUAAUCUGCCCAGGGUAAGUCGGCCCCUAAGGCGAGGGCGAAGGCCGUAGUCGAUGGGAAAUCGGUUCAAAUUCCGAUACCUUUUAUAAUUUCGAGGGCAGGACGCAUGAGGUGAAACCCGGCCGGAGAAUGGUAGUUCCGGUCGAAGUAUCCGAGCCGUUAAAAAGGGUAAUAGGCAAAUCCGUUAUCCUAGGUAAGGAGCGACAGCGAGUGAAGCUACGGCAGAGCGAAGCGGGUGUAAUCAAGGUGCCGGGAAAUACUGUCUAAGGCUAGGUUAUAAAAGACCGUACCGUAAACCGACACAGGUAGAUGAGAUGAGAAAUCUAAGGCGCUCGAGAGAACUCGCGUUAAGGAAUUCGGCAAAAUGCACACGUAACUUCGGAAGAAGUGUGGCCUCCUUUUUUAAAAGAUAUGGGGGCGUCACAAACCAGGCCCAGGCGACUGUUUAUCAAAAACACAGCCAUCUGCGAAUCAUCAAUGAGACGUAUAGGUGGUGACACCUGCCCGGUGCCGGAAGGUUAAGAGGAGGGGUUAGCGGGUAACUGCGAAGCUCUGAAUUGAAGCCCCGGUAAACGGCGGCCGUAACUAUAACGGUCCUAAGGUAGCGAAAUUCCUUGUCGGGUAAGUUCCGACCCGCACGAAUGGUGUAACGAUUCUGGGCACUGUCUCAACGCGAGACUCGGUGAAAUUUAUAUACCGGUAAAGAAGCCGGUUACCCAUAGUUAGACGGAAAGACCCCGUGAACCUUCACCGCAACUUAUUAUUGGGACUUGGUUUAUCAUGUGUAGAAUAGGUGGGAGGCUGUGAAACUUGGCCGUUAGGUCAGGCGGAGCCGACAAGUGAAAUACCACCCUUGAUAAAUCAGGUUUCUAACCUGUCCCGUGAAACCGGGAUAGGGACAGUGGUAGGCAGGCGGUUUGACUGGGGCGGUCGCCUCCUAAAAUGUAACGGAGGUGCGCGAAGGUCUCCUCACGCCGGUUGGAAAUCGGCGCAGCGAGUGUAAAGGCACAAGGAGGCUUAACUGCGAGAGUGACAGCUCGAGCAGAUACGAAAGUAGGUCUUAAUGAUCUGGCGGUAGCGAGUGGAAGUGCCGUCACUUAACGGAUAAAAGGUACUCCGGGGAUAACAGGCUGAUAUUCCCCAAGAGUUCACAUCGACGGGAAUGUUUGGCACCUCGAUGUCGGCUCAUCGCAUCCUGGGGCUGAAGCAGGUCCCAAGGGUUUGGCUGUUCGCCAAUUAAAGCGGUACGUGAGCUGGGUUCAGAACGUCGCGAGACAGUUCGGUCCCUAUCUGCUAUGGGCGCAGGAUACGUGAGAGGAGCUGUUUUUAGUACGAGAGGACCGAAAUGGACGAACCUCUGGUGUACCGGUUAUCCUGCCAAGGGUAAUUGCCGGGUAGCUAAGUUCGGAAGGGAUAACCGCUGAAGGCAUCUAAGUGGGAAGCCCGCCUCAAGACUACGUAUCCCUAGGGGUUUAACCCCUCUAAAGACUCCUUGCACACUACAAGGUUGAUAGGUUGGAGGUCUAAGCAUAGUAAUAUGUUAAGCCGACCAAUACUAAUAAGUCGUGAGGCUUGACCAU